UCGAGAAUUUUUCACAAUGGGCGAAAGCCUGAUGGAGCGACGCCGCGUGGGGGAUGAAUGGCUUCGGCCCGUAAACCCCUGUCAUUUGCGAGCAAGGUUGCCGACCUAACACGUCGGCAAUUGAUAGUAGCGAAAGAGGAAGGGACGGCUAACUCUGUGCCAGCAGCCGCGGUAAUACAGAGGUCCCAAGCGUUGUUCGGAUUCACUGGGCGUAAAGGGUGCGUAGGCGGUCGGGUAAGUCUGGUGUGAAAUUCCGGAGCUUAACUCCGGAACGGCAUCGGAUACUACUCGGCUAGAGGGUUGGAGGGGGGACUGGAAUUCUCGGUGUAGCAGUGAAAUGCGUAGAUAUCGAGAGGAACACCAGUGGCGAAGGCGAGUCCCUAGACAACUCCUGACGCUGAGGCACGAAAGCCAGGGGAGCAAACG
rnacentral:rRNA from 1 species